UGAAAAAUUUAAGAAGAUUACGAAUUCGGGAGAUGUUUCUGUUUUAAGAUGAAUGAAAGUGAUGCAAAAAAUGAUACGGACAGUGAUUCUUCCAUGUCACUUUGUUCUAAAUUAGAAAAAUUAGUUGAUAGAAUUCGGUUCUAUGAGUCUAAACAUGCUAACUUAAGAGAUGGCAAUGUGGAUGCAAAAAGCCUUUUCGAAGAUGGGGACCCUAAAGAGGAUGCCAAGCAGGAAAUGUCAGAUGAAGUAAUUGGGGCGAAGCUCAAAGCCUUGUAUGCACAAAAGAAAGCUAUUUGUGUGGAUCCAGUGGCUGCUCAGUCCCAAGAAAGGAGAUCUUCCGAAGAAGUCAAAGCACUUAAGUACAAAUUACGCAAAGCAAUCUUAAGGGAAGCCGAAAUAGUGAUGACUACUCUCAGUGGCUAUGGUGGUGAUCUUAUGGAGUUUGCUUAAAACCUAUUUCUGGUUACAGAUUUGGAAACCCAUCUGAAGAUUCUCUGUUUCAUGCUGUUGUUAUUGAUGAAGCAGCUCAAGCUCUUGAACCGGCGACUCUGAUUCCUCUACAGCUUCUAAAAUCAAAUGGAACCAAAUGUAUUAUGGUUGGUGAUCCAAAGUAGCUUCCUGCAACGAUUCUUUCUAAUGUUGC